rnacentral:rRNA from 1 species
UCGCUACUACCGAUUGAACGGCUUAGUGAAAUGUGAGGACCGAGGGGAGUGCAGGGUUUCUUGCACUCUCACUCGAGGAAAUACAUUAAACUUGAUCGUUUAGAGGAAGUAA